UACGUAGGGGGCGAGCGUUGUCCGGAAUCAUUGGGCGUAAAGAGCGUGUAGGCGGCCAGACAGGUCCGUUGUGAAAACUCGAGGCUCAACCUCGAGAUGUCGAUGGAAACCGUCUGGCUAGAGUCCGGAAGAGGAGUGUGGAAUUCCUGGUGUAGCGGUGAAAUGCGCAGAUAUCAGGAAGAACACCUAUGGCGAAGGCAGCACUCUGGGACGGUACUGACGCUGAGACGCGAAAGCGUGGGGAGCGAACAGG
rnacentral:rRNA from 1 species